rnacentral:rRNA from 1 species
UGGGGGAAUAUUGCACAAUGGGGGAAACCCUGAUGCAGCGACGCCGCGUGAGCGAAGAAGUAUUUCGGUAUGUAAAGCUCUAUCAGCAGGGAAGAAAUUGACGGUACCUGAGUAAGAAGCUCCGGCUAAAUACGUGCC